AGCAGGAUCUCAUUUAUUGAGGAAGUACACACAGCUAAUAUAAUGCGCAGGAGCCAAUCAGGAUAAAGGUCAGAGGGGUGGAGCGAGUUCACAUGUACACCCAUCCCAAGGUCUGUAAGGGAAGGCAUGAGCUGUCCAUGAGGGUGGAAGAGUCCUGGACCUAUCCUGGAGGUGGUCUGUUUUUUCCAUCACCACCCACAGCACCACCUCCUGGCUGAUCGCCAGGCACCAUCCCAGCCACAUGUUCGGCCCCAAGACUGGGAAGCGGGCAGCAAGUCAUGCCCUACAUCUCCCCCUUUUCGUUUUAUUAGCAGGUGUUUGCCUUAUUCGAGAGUGUGCCUGUCUUAGGUUGUCCCCUUCUGGGGAUCUUACCCAUCACUGACUACCACUCUAGCUCUUCGGGUAAUCCUACCUGCAGGGCCUGCAGGCCCAAUGGGAAGCUUCAAGGAAGGAGAUGGCUAUUGCCUAGGAAGGAAACCUUUCUGCUCCUGGCUUAUAUCUGCACAUCCUGGUAGGGGCCGUGGCCAAACUCAUAGGGUUCACAGUCAGUAUCUUGUAAGAUGAUAUAUUGCUGCCGGACCACUAUCAGUUGAACAGCUCUGGCUUGAUCCUUGAGAAACUGGAGGAGCCCAUUCCAUAGAAACAGCACUCCUCCUGUAGGAACAGACAUAGUCCUCCUUCUUGGGCAGUAAGCUGGUCUAAGCUGUGAUGGUUUUGGAGGACUACCGCAGCCAAGGAAUCGAGUUAAGAUUGCAGGUCCAAGAUAGUGCUGGCAACUUGGUGCAUUAUUGUAUAUCUAUAAAGAAGUACUGAGGCCAGCAAGUCCAGUUCUCAUCCCCGUGGCCAUGAUGAAUGCCAUGAGGGAGACAAUGAGGACUGUGGUCACAACCAGGCAAAGCGUCCAGAAUGGUCUUUUCAUUCCUACAAAUGAGAAAAUAAAAAAUCAUACCUCAAGAGAGGGUACUCUUGGGUAAUCAUUUUUGUUCUGGUGAACAGUAUUUUAGAUCUCUAGUGGGUACCCAAAUUGGACUUGGCUCCCCAAUUGGGAAUAUACACCCAAAUCCCCUCCCUACACUAAUGAGGGGAUCAGGACCGCGCCAUGAUCCAGUAAGAGUGUCCCUCCAUCGGACCUCUACCUUCACAUAAGGUGUCUGAUUAGACCAAUGUUUCUGGAAAGCAGUUACAGGUUGGUCUUUGGAAAAAAUUAAAAUAUUUAAUGUAAGCAUGGCUGUCCUUAAUUGGUCAUGGGGGGUUGCUUCCCCCUUUUUGUUUUAUUAGUUGGUCCUUCAAGGUCUUAUAUGCCUCUCAAUUAUAGCUUGACCUUUUGGAUUGUAUGGUAUUCCAGUUGUGUGUUUAAUAUUCCAAGUUUGGAAGAAUUCUUGUAAUGAUUUGCUCACAAAGCAGGGCCCAUUCUGUCUUAAUCUGUAAGGGUAAUCCCAAAAUGGCAAAACAUUGUAGGAAAUGGCUUUCAGCGUGUUGAGCUUUUUCACCCAACUGAGCAGUUGCCCAACAAGCAUGUGAAUAGGUAUCUAUAGACAUAAAUAUAGAGAUUUUAAUUUUCCAAAAGAUGCAUAGUGGGUCACAUCAGUUUGCUAGAUGACAUUAGGUCUGAGGCCCCUGGGGUUGACCCCUCAGGGAUUGAAGAGGUGGGACCUGUAAAAACAGCAUACAUGAUUUACAUGUCCUUAUGAUCUUUUUAAAAUCUUUUAUGGGAAUCAGGGGGAAUCUUUGAUGUAACCCUCUCCAGUUUAAGUGAGUAAGAUCAUGAAGUCCUUGAGCCAUCUGAAGGUUCUGUUGAGACUGAGCAGUAGCUAUGAUAGCCCCAUUGGUAGCCAAUCAAUCAGCCAUUUGGUUCCCCCAUGUCAAGAUUCCAGGUAACUCUUGGUGUCCCCUGAGAUGCUGCAGAAAAAUGGGUUCAGCCUGCUCUUUCAACAAGGAUCGGACUUGAAUCAUUAGAGAAGUAAUUGGGUUUUUGUCCAAGUUAAUAUAUGCUGACACUAGAGUUGGUAACAAGUUGACUGCAUAUAGGCUGUCAGAAAACAAGUUCAUUGGUCCAUGGACAUGGGUUAAGGCCAGGGCAACUGCAUAUAGUUCCUUAAAUUGUGCAGAUCCCGUAACUGGCUCAAAAUAGUGGGUAAGUACCUUUCAUUGGCAGGGGAAUGAUCUGCGAAAGAUCCUGCUUUUCCCCCAUCAGUAAAGAUAUUUACCACUUUAAUGAGGGAUCUGGUGGAAAAAAGUAUGGUGGGGCAGUCCAUUGUAACUUCAAGAAUGAUGUCACCCAUCUCAAAGUACCAUAAUGACAAUCCACCUUUCCCAUGAAACCCUCCAAGGCAUUGGAUACCUGACUAUGGUUUCUUCUGACCCACUCAAAAGUCUGACAGCCAGUAGGGGACUACUAGCACAUCAGGAUUGCACCCAUAAUGUCUCAGGGAAAUAUCCCUACCCUUAACUAUCAGGUCAGCCAACUGGUCAAGUUGGGAAUAGAAACCUAGGGGCCCCUCCCACAGAUGCAUGUAUCCAUUGAAGGGGCUCGCCUAACUGGGGAGGGGAGGAUUCAAAGACAGAGGGGGCAUUGGGGCCUAUAGGGAGCCAAUUGUGCCGCUUUUAAGGCUGACUGAAUCUUUUGGAAUAUCAAUUGAUGUGAUGGAGUCAUUGUGAUGACAUCUGUGGGGACUUUAUCUCUUAAAGACUCGAAAAGUGGACGCAGGUCUUCUGUAGGCAGGUGAAGCCAAGGCCUUAACCAGUUGAGUUCGCCCAACAGUUUUUGUAAUUCCACCAAGAUGUAGGACGACUGGAAAAAUAAUUGAGGCUUAAGGGGACAGACAGAGUCCAACUUAAGUUUGACCCCUAGAAUUUUAAAAUGGGGUAAGGUCUGGACCUUGUCAUUAGAUAUAUGUAAUGUUCCCUUUUGUAAGAGAGUCUGGAGUUCCUUAUAGGUGGNCGUGUUGAGCUUUUUCACCCAACUGAGCAGUUGCCCAACAAGCAUGUGAAUAGGUAUCUAUAGACAUAAAUAUAGAGAUUUUAAUUUUCCAAAAGAUGCAUAGUGGGUCACAUCAGUUUGCUAGAUGACAUUAGGUCUGAGGCCCCUGGGGUUGACCCCUCAGGGAUUGAAGAGGUGGGACCUGUAAAAACAGCAUACAUGAUUUACAUGUCCUUAUGAUCUUUUUAAAAUCUUUUAUGGGAAUCAGGGGGAAUCUUUGAUGUAACCCUCUCCAGUUUAAGUGAGUAAGAUCAUGAAGUCCUUGAGCCAUCUGAAGGUUCUGUUGAGACUGAGCAGUAGCUAUGAUAGCCCCAUUGGUAGCCAAUCAAUCAGCCAUUUGGUUCCCCCAUGUCAAGAUUCCAGGUAACUCUUGGUGUCCCCUGAGAUGCUGCAGAAAAAUGGGUUCAGCCUGCUCUUUCAACAAGGAUCGGACUUGAAUCAUUAGAGAAGUAAUUGGGUUUUUGUCCAAGUUAAUAUAUGCUGACACUAGAGUUGGUAACAAGUUGACUGCAUAUAGGCU
rnacentral:lncRNA from 1 species